ensembl:rRNA 5S_rRNA 5S ribosomal RNA
GCUUACGGCCAUACCAACCUGGCUAUGCCCGAUCUCGUCUGAUCUCGGAAGCUAAGCAGGUUUGGGCCUGGUUAGUACUUGGAUGGUAGACCGCCUGGGAAUACCAGGUGCUGUAAGCU